rnacentral:rRNA from 1 species
ACGAAGGGGGCUAGCGUUGUUCGGAAUCACUGGGCGUAAAGCGCACGUAGGCGGACCGUUAAGUCGGAGGUGAAAUCCUGGGGCUCAACCCCAGAACUGCCUUCGAUACUGGCGGUCUCGAGUCCGGAAGAGGAGAGUGGAACUGCCAGUGUAGAGGUGAAAUUCGUAGAUAUUGGCGAGAACACCAGUGGCGGAGGCGACUCACUGGGCCGGUACUGACUCUGGGGUGCGAAAGCGUGGGGAGCAUGCAG